UGGGGAAUAUUGCACAAUGGGCGCAAGCCUGAUGCAGCGACGCCGCGUGAGGGAAGAAGGUUUUCGGAUUGUAAACCUCUGUUAAGUGGGAAAAAAUAUUAAUGGUUAAUACCCAUUGAAGAUGAUGGUACCACUAGAGAAAGUACCGGCAAACUUCGUGCCAGCAGCCGCGGUAAUACGAAGGGUACAAGCGUUAUUCGGAGUUACUGGGCGUAAAGAGCGUGUAGGCGGCUUGUUAAGUUAGUUGUUAAAUUCCUCGGCCUAACCGGGGAUCCGCAACUAAAACUGGUGAGCUAGAGUACAAGAGAGAGAAGUAGAAUUCCCGGAGUAGCGGUAAAAUGCGUAGAUCUCGGGAGGAAUACCGAUGGCGAAGGCAGCUUCUUGGCUUGUAACUGACGCUAAAGCGCGAAAGCGUGGGGAGCAAACAGG
rnacentral:rRNA from 1 species